rnacentral:lncRNA from 1 species
UCCUCUGCCUGCAUCCCUACCUGUAGCCUACCUGUCUCUGCUAUAAUGCAUGUCCACCUCUCACUCUAUCAGUCUUGCUUGUCCAUCUUCCUGAAUUACAAUUAUAUAUUCUAAUAGAUUAAUCUUCCUGGCAAAACGUCAUUAAAUAUUGCUAAGUUAUUUAGCUAUAGUGUCGAUAUAAUGGGCACCCAGAUACUGCUUAGGCAACACAAUACUAUCAGACAGAGACAAGCUGGCCAGAGGAUAAACUGUCGCUGGCCGCCUCUACGUUGGUUACUGUAGCACUAUUAAUAUUAUCGGAGCAGUCUUGUUGAUACACAAGGUUUCAAUAUUCUCCAAUCCGUCUCGUUCGUUGAUACGUUUCAAUAUUCUCAGAAACACCUUGUUGAUGAAAUGCUUCAAUAUUCGCAGAACGUUUCCCUUCCCUGGCGAAUAAUGCAGACAGGCAAAUACAACAAUGAGCUGGGCGCACACAUAACAAGGAACAUCUCUGAAUGCAGAGCAGCAAUUUUGGUGUUCCCAGUUGUUUUGAAAGCACCAUCAAUCCAGAGAAUGCCAGACUUUGAUGACAAAAUUUGCCCACGAAGGAUCGCCGCGCCACCUUCCUGUUCAAGUGGGCACAGCACAACAAGCGGAAAUGGUCAGUCUGCCUUCAGUAUUCUCGCCCCAAUGAAGAAACAUCCUAAGAUCACCAUGCACAAUGCCAAGCGUCGGCUGGAGUGGAAAGCUCGCUUCCAUUGGACUCUGGAGCAGUGGAAAUGCGUUAUCUGGAGUGAUGAACCACGCUUCACCAUCUAGCUGUCCAACGGAUGAAUCUGGGUUUGCGUAUGCCAGGAGAACGCUACCUGCCCCAAUGUAUAGUGUCAGCUGUAAAGUUUGGUGCUGGAGGAAUAAUGGUCUGGGGUGGUUUUUCAUAGUUCGGGCUAGGCCCCUUAGUUCCAGUGAAGGGAAAUCUUAACGCUACAGCAUACAAUGACAUUCUAGACAAUUCUGUGCUUCCAACUUUGUAGCAACAGUUUAGGGAAGGCCCUUUCCUGUUUCCCAUGCAUAAAUCAAGGUCCACACAGAAUUGGUUUGUCGAGAUCGGUGUGGAAGAACUUGACUGGAGGCUGUUAUAGUAGCAAAGGGGGGACCAACUCCAUAUUAAUGCCCAUAAUUUUGGAUUGAGCUGUUUGACAAGCAGGUGUCCACAUACUUGUUUUGGUCAUGUAGUGUAUCAGGAACACCGAAAUUGAAAAUGAAAAAGAUAAAUGGAAGAUUGUGACAUGUUAUAACUGAAAUAAUACUGGAAAAUGUAGCCUGUCAAUUACGAUGAUUAUGACUGUGAAAAUAAAGUUAUUGAAGACCAACUUUUAAUAAAUGACAUUGUAAAUGAAAGUGAUAUGGAUUGCAGCAACGGGUGUGAUAGACAAUUUAAAUAUAAUUUUAAAACAAA